GUGGGGAAUCUUGCGCAAUGGGCGAAAGCCUGACGCAGCCAUGCCGCGUGAAUGAUGAAGGUCUUAGGAUUGUAAUAUUCUUUCACCGGGGACGAUAAUGACGGUACCCGGAGAAGAAGCCCCGGCUAACUUCGUGCCAGCAGCCGCGGUAAUACGAAGGGGGCUAGCGUUGCUCGGAAUUACUGGGCGUAAAGGGCGCGUAGGCGGACAGUUUAGUCAGAGGUGAAAGACCAGGGCUCAACCUUGGAAUUGCCUUUGAUACUGGCUGUCUUGAGUACGGGAGAGGUGAGAGGAACUCCGAGUGUAGAGGUGAAAUUCGUAGAUAUUCGGAAGAACACCAGUGGCGAAGGCGACUCACUGGCCCGUUACUGACGCUGAGGCGCGAAAGCGUGGGGAGCAAACAGGAUUAGAAACCCCGGUAGUCC
rnacentral:rRNA from 1 species